GCGGCCACUGCUAUCAAGUUCCGACUAAGCCGUGCGAGUCAAGGUAUCGUAAGAUGCCGGCAAACUGCUCAGUAACACGUGGAUAAUCUAACCUUGAGUAAGGGAUAACUUCGGGAAACUGAAGGUAAUACCUUAUAAUUGCUUAAAACUGGAAUGUUUUUGCAAUAAAAGUUACGACGCUCAAGGAUGAGUCUGCGACCUAUCAGGUAGUAGGUGGUGUAAUGGACCACCUAGCCUCAGACGGGUACGGGCCCUGGGAGGGGUAGCCCGGAGAUGGACUCUGAGACAUAAGUCCAGGCCCUACGGGGCGCAGCAGGCGCGAACACUGUGCAAUGCGCGAAAGCGCGACACGGGGAGCUUGAGUGUCUUGGCAUAGCCAAGACUUUUCUCAUUCCUAAAAAGCAUGAGGAAUAAGUGCUGGGUAAGACGGGUGCCAGCCGCCGCGGUAACACCCGCAGCACGAGUAGUGGUCACUUUUAUUGAGCCUAAAGCGUUCGUAGCCGGUUUUGUAAAUCUUCAGAUAAAGCCUGAAGCUUAACUCCAGAAAGUCUGAAGAGACUGCAAGACUUGAGAUCGGGUGAGGUUAAACGUACUUUCAGGGUAGGGGUAAAAUCCUGUAAUCCCGGAAGGACGACCAGUGGCGAAAGCGUUUAACUAGAACGAAUCUGACGGUAAGGAACGAAGGCUAGGGUAGCAAACCGGAUUAGAUACCCGGGUAGUCCUAGCUGUAAACAUUGCCCAUUUGAUGUUGCUUUUCCGUUGAGGGAAGGCAGUGUCGGAGCGAAGGUGUUAAAUGGGCCGCUUGGGAAGUAUGGUCGCAAGACUGAAACUUAA
rnacentral:rRNA from 1 species